UCUCAAUAGAUGCAGAGAAAGCAUUUGACAAAAUACAGCAUUCUUUCUUGAUGAAAACCCUCAAGAAAUUAGGGAAAGAAGAAUCAUACCUCGAAAACAUAAGAGCCAUAAAUGAGCA